rnacentral:tRNA from 1 species
UGGGUCCCCCAGUGGGUCAGUGCACCUGGCUGUUAACCAGAAGGUUGGUGGUUCAAGCCCAGCCAGGGAAG